AGCGAACGCUGGCGGCAGGCCUAACACAUGCAAGUCGAACGAACCUUUCGGGGUUAGUGGCGGACGGGUGAGUAACACGUGGGAACGUGCCUUUAGGUUCGGCAUAACUCAGGGAAACUUGUGCUAAUACCGAAUGUGCCCUUCGGGGGAAAGAUUAAUCGCCUUUAGAGCGGCCCGCGUCUGAUUAGCUAGUUGGUUGAGGUAAUGGCUCACCAAGGCGACGAUCAGUAGCUGGUCUGAGAGGAUGAUCAGCCACAUUGGGACUGAGACACGGCCCAAACUCCGACGGGAGGCAGAAGUGGGGAAUCUUGCGCAAUGGGCGAAAGCCUGACGCAGCCAUGCCGCGGGAAUGAUGAAGGUCUUAGGAUUGUAAAAUUCUUUCACCGGGGACGAUAAUGACGGUACCCGGAGAAGAAGCCCCGGCUAACUUCGUG
rnacentral:rRNA from 1 species